rnacentral:pre_miRNA from 1 species
AAAAAAAUCGGACCGUCGGUUCACCGAGAAAUUAUACUUGUUCCGUGGAAGAUCUUCCCUUAGUCGU